UGGGGAAUCUUGGACAAUGGGCGCAAGCCUGAUCCAGCCAUGCCGCGUGAGUGACGAAGGCCUUAGGGUUGUAAAACUCUUUCGUCGGGGACGAUAAUGACGGUACCCGAAGAAGAAGCUCCGGCUAACUUCGUGCCAGCAGCCGCGGUAAUACGAAGGGAGCUAGCGUUGUUCGGAAUCACUGGGCGUAAAGCGCACGUAGGCGGAUAGUUAAGUCAGGGGUGAAAUCCUGGGGCUCAACCCCAGAACUGCCUUUGAUACUGGCUGUCUCGAGGUCGAGAGAGGUUGGUGGAAUUCCUAGUGUAGAGGUGAAAUUCGUAGAUAUUAGGAAGAACACCAGUGGCGAAGGCGGCCAACUGGCUCGAUACUGACGCUGAGGUGCGAAAGCGUGGGGAGCAAACAGGAUUAGAUACCCCCGUAGUCCCUGAGCGGGCUGGCAAGGCGCAU
rnacentral:rRNA from 1 species